GAAUUAUAGCCUGUAUGGAAGACGACUCUAAAUAAUGAUGAUAAUAUUGGUGGAAUCAAAGCAUCUAGAAGACCAUGCAUUCCAUUUUAAAUCUAGUUGAGAUGGCAUAAUUCAUACCUCCUCAAAUGUGAACAAUUAUAAAUGACUCAACCAGCUGGUGCCAAAUUCCACCUAUACCCUGAGUAUACUUGAAGCAACCACCUAAACCCAAGCUAAUAGCCAGAUGUAUGCUCACUGAAUGGAUAACUUACCUAACCUUGAGAAGCUCCUUAAAGUACUCUCCUGAUCUUCUGGCAAAUAAUUCAGCAAACAUCUUUCGUUGCUUGAGAAGGCCCUGGGAGGCCCCUCCUUAUCCUCAGUAAGCCUGUCAGUGUGUUUCUUCCAAGCACAUACAGCACUUUCCCAAAGAGAUCUAACAAAAUAAAAACUUUCCUCUUCUCAUUAUAACUUGAGUGAUCACAUGAUUUCUAUUGCUCAGCAUUAGUCUAGGCCCAGGGAGAUAUAUAGGAGAACAGAAG
rnacentral:lncRNA from 1 species